UACGUAGGGGGCUAGCGUUGCUCGGAAUGACUGGGCGUAAAGGGCGCGUAGGCGGCUCAUACAGUCAGGCGUGAAAUUCCUGGGCUCAACCUGGGGACUGCGCUUGAGACGUGUGGGCUUGAGUGGGGAAGAGGGUCGUGGAAUUCCCAGUGUAGAGGUGAAAUUCGUAGAUAUUGGGAAGAACACCGGUGGCGAAGGCGGCGACCUGGUCCUUGACUGACGCUGAGGCGCGAAAGCGUGGGGAGCAAACAGG
rnacentral:rRNA from 1 species